GCUGGCGGCACUAGCGCGGUGGUCCCACCUGACCCCAUGCCGAACUCAGAAGUGAAACGCCGUAGCGCCGAUGGUAGUGUGGGGUCUCCCCAUGUGAGAGUAGGGAACUGCCAGGC
rnacentral:rRNA from 2 species